rnacentral:rRNA from 1 species
CGGGACGGGUGAGUAAUGUCUGGGAAACUGCCUGAUGGAGGGGGAUAACUACUGGAAACGGUAGCUAAUACCGCAUAACGUCGCAAGACCAAAGAGGGGGACCUUCGGGCUCUUGCCAUCGGAUGUGCCCAGAUGGGAUUAGCUAGUAGGUGGGGUAACGGCUCACCUAGGCGACGAUCCCUAGCUGGUCUGAGAGGAUGACCAGCCACACUGGAACUGAGACACGGUCCAG